rnacentral:rRNA from 1 species
GACGAACGCUGGCGGCGUGCUUAACACAUGCAAGUCGAACGGAAAGGCCCUGCUUUUGUGGGGUGCUCGAGUGGCGAACGGGUGAGUAACACGUGAGUAACCUGCCCUUGACUUUGGGAUAACUUCAGGAAACUGGGGCUAAUACCGGAUAGGAGCUCCUGCUGCAUGGUGGGGGUUGGAAAGUUUCGGCGGUUGGGGAUGGACUCGCGGCUUAUCAGCUUGUUGGUGGGGGAGUGGCUUACCAAGGCUUUGACGGGUAGCCGGCCUGGGAGGGUGACCGGCCACAUUGGGCCUGCGAUACGGCCCAGACUCCUACGGGAGGCAGCAGUGGGGAAUAUUGCACAAUGGGCGGAAGCCUGUUGCAGCGACGCCGCGUUCGGGAUGACGGCCUUCGGGUUGUAAACCGCUUUCGCCUGUGACGAAGCGUGAGUGACGGUAAUGGGUAAAGAAGCACCGGCUAACUACGUG